GGUCAGUGAUGAAAUGUAAAAGGUCUGAUUGCCCAAGUCCCUUCCCAUUGUCCACUGCUCCCAGCAGCCCUUGCUCUACUCCCAGCAUGCUCUAGUUGUGCAUCGUUGGCCACAUGGGCUGCUGACAUAGAGGAUGACCUCGCAUCCUGUGUCUCUGAGACCAUGGUGUCACAGUGAUGAUGGACGGCCAUCCAACAUGACCAAUCACCAAGGAGUAUCAGGGUGUGGGUUCGGGAUAGGUAGAUGAUCUCAAGUUUUCAAGCUGAGACC